GCCGUCGUAGCGUAAUUGGAAGCGCGCGUGUCUUCUAAACACGAAGGUGGGGGUUCGAGGCCCUCCGACGGUG
rnacentral:tRNA from 1 species